UCCCAGCUACUCAGCUACUCGAGAGACCAAGACGUGGAAUAAACUUGACAAAUGCUAAAGAUGCUCUUUGAUUUUUGUGUGGCAUGAGACCUCAGGCUGAAACUUCUCAUCUGAGCCAUUGAGGGGAGCCUCUCAUCUCUCCACCGAGAGGGGGAGACCAGAAUGCUCUGUUUCUGGCAGGAAUCUGACACCACUUAAUCCUUGGGUAGAAACUCCCCCAAGUCUGAACUAUGUGAUUGCCUGAGCCCUGCUCCUUGUUCAUUAAGACUGCUCCUCUGAAAUGGAAUUGAUGAAUUUUCAGUGGCUAUUUGAAGCAUUUGGGAUCCAUAGGCAUCAGGGCUUGAUGCAUGGCCCUCAUCUCUGUGGGCUCCUGUGCAAUGAUUCUCAUCUGUCUUAGUUAGAAAGUGAAUUAAUCUUGACCUUGGCCUCAGGGGUGUGGUUCUCUGCCCUCUUACACAUCUUCAAUUCGCUUCUUUAUCAGAAGCACUUGUUUUAGGCCCAGGCUCCCCCAGUUUUAAUGACAUUUAGACAUUUGUCUUUAAGUU
rnacentral:antisense_RNA from 1 species